GCCCAAUCAGGGCGGGUUGGACGAAUUCAAACCCCGGCCCCGCAAGCGCCGGUGGCGGUUCUGUUUCGCUCCCCCGGGCGGGGAAGGAUGCACCGUUGAUCGGCCGGGACCGGGGUCGGUCCGGAUGGGCUCCGGGAGCCGCGGGGCGGCUGAGGCCCCCCCCCGCCGCCCGGAGUACAGGCUGAGCUCUUCUGGUCUCUUAUCAUAAAACUUCACAUCCCAUUGAUGACCUGCACAGCUUUCCCUGCAUCCAGCCCUGCUUGAGACUGUGUUUUGGACCUGCACAUACUUUUCCAGCCCAAGACAGCUGGACCCUGGAGAUCUUUCCUCAGUGACGUGGCUGUUUGGACACAGCCUUCUCCUCCUCCCAUUGCAAGAGCAAUGCUAGUGACCCCACGCAGCUGCAGUGAGGAGCUCUUGGCUUGGGCAGGAGCGAAUCCUGAGCUCGGCGCAGCCGUGCCGGUGGCGAUGGAGUAACCAGUGCUCUGGGUGCACGGGCAUAGCGGGAGGCUGAAGCUGGCUGC
rnacentral:lncRNA from 1 species